rnacentral:rRNA from 1 species
AUUGAACGCUGGCGGCAUGCUUUACACAUGCAAGUCGAACGGUAACAGGCCUUCGGGUGCUGACGAGUGGCGAACGGGUGAGUAAUGCAUCGGAACGUACCCAGAGGGGGGGGAUAACGCAGCGAAAGCUGUGCUAAUACCGCAUGUGAUCUGAGGAUGAAAGCGGGGGACCGAGCAGCAAUGUUUGGCCUCGCGCCUUUGGAGCGGCCGAUGUCGGAUUAGCUAGUUGGUGGGGUAAAGGCCUACCAAGGCGACGAUCCGUAGCUGGUCUGAGAGGACGACCAGGCCACAUGGGAACAGGAACACGGCCCAGACCCCGACGGGGGGCAGGAGUGGGAAUUUUUGGACAGGGGGCGCAAGCCUGACCCGGCAAGGCGGCGGGCGGGAAGAGGGCCUUCGGUUGGAAACCCGUUUUGGGCAGAAAGGAAACGGUGCCCGCUAAUCCCGGGCGAAAAGGACGGUACUGGCAGAAUAAACACCGCCAACCUACGG